CUUUUUUAUUUUAUUUUAUGCCUUCCUCCUUCCUGUCUCUCUUUAACCUUUCUUCUUCCCUCAGCCUCCUCCGACCAAAGCCUGGGCUCAAUGAACAUUCAGUAAAGGAACACGGAAUGUCAACUGCAGUUGCACUAGAGACAACCUUGAGACACAUUCCUCUUGUGGGAACUGCUACCCAUUCUUUGCAUGGGAUCUGGAUGGAACUGUUGAUCACAGUGUUUUUACUCCCCAUUUUGCCUCACCAAGAGAAGUCAGCUGUGUUUUCUGCUGAGUCUCCAUAGGAACGUCAGUCCUGAAUCCUCAGACCACCACCUGGAGUAGUAAGUGCUCCUGACCAUCCUAGAAGGCGUCUACUGCUGGAUCUCCAAAGCAUGUGACACACCGUAAGAGAGAAAUGAGAAUGCUGAGCUCUUCAGGUAAAGCCUGCUUUUUCACAAGCCCCCUAAUUUUACAACAUAAUUAUUUUGAAUUCACUGAUAAUUUCUACAAUUUUCCCAUAAGUCAUCUACACACAAUUCCCUCUCAUGCAACACUUGGCUUUGCUAAUACAUAUCUAUUAUGAGAGCUGUGCUUCUUAAGCGUAAAUGUUUUAUAUGCACUAAGGCUCUUGGCUUACAUAUAAAAGGGUAUUGAGCAAUGUGAUACAGGAGUCUUUUCUCCACAGUUCUCAUAUGUAAAGAAUUCAUU
rnacentral:lncRNA from 10 species